rnacentral:rRNA from 1 species
UACGUAGGGGGCUAGCGUUGUCCGGAAUUAUUGGGCGUAAAGAGCUCGUAGGCGGUCUGUCGCGUCGAUCGUGAAAACUUGGGGCUUAACCCUGAGCUUGCGGUCAAUACGGGCAUGACUGGAGUUCGGCAGGGGAGACUGGAAUUCCUGGUGUAGCGGUGAAAUGCGCAGAUAUCAGGAGGAACACCGGUGGCGAAGGCGGGACUCUGGGCCGAUACUGACGCUGAGGAGCGAAAGCGUGGGGAGCGAACAGG